AACGAACGCUGGCGGCAUGCCUAACACAUGCAAGUCGAACGAGACCUUCGGGUCUAGUGGCGCACGGGUGCGUAACGCGUGGGAAUCUGCCCUUGGGUUCGGAAUAACAGUUGGAAACGACUGCUAAUACCGGAUGAUGACGUAAGUCCAAAGAUUUAUCGCCCAAGGAUGAGUCCGCGUAGGAUUAGCUAGUUGGUGAGGUAAAGGCUCACCAAGGCGACGAUCCUUAGCUGGUCUGAGAGGAUGAUCAGCCACACUGGGACUGAGACACGGCCCAGACUCCUACGGGAGGCAGCAGUGGGGAAUAUUGGACAAUGGGCGAAAGCCUGAUCCAGCAAUGCCGCGUGAGUGAUGAAGGCCUUAGGGUUGUAAAGCUCUUUUACCCGGGAUGAUAAUGACAGUACCGGGAGAAUAAGCUCCGGCUAACUCCGUG
rnacentral:rRNA from 1 species